rnacentral:tRNA from 4 species
GGUCACGUAGCUCAGCCUGGCAGAGCGGCUGACUUGUAAUCAGCAGGUCGUGGGUCCAAAUCCCACCGUGACCU